UCACGUUCCCUGGGAUCUGGGCGGCCCGCGCCCGGCCUCCUCCUUCCCUCAGGCCUAGUCCCCAGCUCCUGCGUCCCCCGGAGCAUCCAGCGUGCGGCCCUAGGCCUUUCCCGGGAGGAGUUUCUCGCCUGGAAGAGGCGGGGGCCGGGGCAGGGGACACCAUGACUCCUCACGCCCUGACAGCACAGAUAGGGGAUCUCUCCCCAGGUUGCAGGUCCUUCACCCUCUUGGCUCCUCUGGCUCUGUCCAGAUCAUCCCCUCCCACCCCGUCCCCUUUUCUCCUCCAGCUCUCAGCCCCGUGGUUGAAUCCCCUCCUUCUGAUCCCUCUGCCAGAAAACCCCCACUGAAGCCUGAAGGAAGGAUGACGGGAGAAGGUGCUGCCCACUGUGGCCGCUGUCCACUGGGCAGCGUGAUGGUCCAGUUUGAUGCCGCUCCGAGGUGAGGCAGGCCCUGACAUCAAGGUCAGCUGUUAGAAGGAGAAGGACUGGGGUUUGAACUCAGGGCCUCACAUUUUCGAGGCAGGUGCUCUAUGACAUGUUUCUUAGACAGAGGCAAAGCAGAAUUGUGGCAAGGUCUUCCUUGAAUGCACAGCUUCGGGAAGGAUGCACAUGGAGUGGAGACGGAGGAAGGGGUCACCAGUCCAGCAAGCCAGAUCAGUCGAAUCAACACUGGGAAUCAGUGAAACCUCAGGUGUCCAGAUGGCCCUCACACCCCAUGGUC